rnacentral:tRNA from 1 species
GCGGGUAUAGUUUAGUGGUAAAAGUGUGAUUUGUUAUAUUAUCAACCUGAAUGGUUGAAGGGUCUUCAAAUAA